AUUGAACGCUGGCGGAAUGCUUUACACAUGCAAGUCGAACGGUAGAGGGGGCAACCCCUCGAGAGUGGCGAACGGGUGAGUAAUAUAUCGGAACGUGCCCAGUCGUGGGGGAUAACGUAGCGAAAGUUACGCUAAUACCGCAUACGAUCUAAGGAUGCAAGCGGGGGAUCGCAAGACCUCGCGCGAUUGGAGCGGCCGAUACCAGAUUAGGUAGUUGGUGGGGUAAAGGCUCCCCAAGCCAACGAUCGGUAUCUGGUCUGAGAGGACGACCAGCCACACUGGAACUGAGACACGGUCCAGACUCCUACGGGAGGCAGCAGUGGGGAAUUUUGGACAAUGGACGCAAGUCUGAUCCAGCCAUUCCGCGUGCAGGAUGAAGGCUCUCGGGUUGUAAACUGCUUUUGUACGGAACGAAAAGGUCUCUCUUAAUACGGGGGGCUCAUGACGGUACCGUAAGAAUAAGCACCGGCUAACUACGUGCCAGCCGCCGCCGUAA
rnacentral:rRNA from 1 species